CCCUUAGAUGUUCUGGGCCGCACGCGUGCUACACUGAGUGGAUCAGCGGGUCAGGUUGCGCGAAAGCGUUUCCUAAUCUUUAAAUCCGCUCGUGAUGGGGAUUGACGGUUGCAAUUUCUGUCAUGAACGAGGAAUACCUUGUAAGCGCGGGUCAUCAUCCCGCGCUGAAUACGUCCCUGCCCUUUGUACACACCGCCCGUCGCUCCUACCGAUUGAGUGGUCCGGUGAGGCUUUGGGAUCUGAGCGGAAAGAGCGUUUCGCUGUUUCUGCUCGGAAAACUCAGUCGAACCUUAUCAUUUAGAGGAAGGAGAAGUCGUAACA
rnacentral:rRNA from 1 species